GCUGGGGGGGUGGUAUCACUGUGCUUUGCUGUACUUUUUGGGAGUAGGUAACCUGCAGAUUUCCUCUCCGCUGUGGCUGUUGCAGCUAGAGCCCACAGAGCCCUCGUUGGAUGAGAACCAGGGCCCAGCCAGCCUUGGCAGAAGUCCCCAGCACCACGCUUGGCUUGCCCUGGCAUGUGCUGGCCUUGGAGACUGUGAGCUCUUGCAAGCUUUAUCCUUCUCUUCUGUGUUUUUUAUUUCAUUCGGUAACAAGAGCCUCAGAUGUCUGAGGCUGGUUGUACCUGGUUGGGGGUGGGUAAAAAUUGGGUGUUCCCCCUAUGACUGAUGUGCGGUUGUGAUCAUAAAACUAAAUAAACUGUGUUAAUACAGGAGGGGAAGGGGGAGGUUGUGCAUCAUUAUAUUACUGCACCAAAGGAGAUUCCUGCUACAUACAGCUUGAUGCUGCCUUGCAAUUGUCAGGUAAGAGGCUUGAAGAGGAAAAGAAAACUUGCAAGAGUGCAAAUGUGACGUUCUCUGCCAUUUCCUGGGCUUGGCUCUUCCUACAUUUGACGGUUGAGUUGAUUAGGCAGAUCAUAAGCCAAAGCUCAGCUUUUUACUAGUAAAGGGAGGAAAAAGCAUCCCUGCCCAAAAGUAGAAACAGGUUGGUCCUGCCCUGCAUGCUUCUCUUGGCUCCCUGGCAUGUUUAAGUCUAUUUAAAACAAAACUAUGGUGGUUGGUUUUAACGUUGCUGAGUGGGAUGUGAGAAGCGAGCACAAGGAGCCAUCUCAGCAGGUCACCCUGGCCUCUCCUUGCUGUUUGCAUUGGUUUGAAAUUUGACAUGCUGAGCUGGAGGGGGAUCUUGGCAGAGCCAAAGAGAGCCUGGAGUGCAUUUUUGAAUGUCCAUGAGGUUGCUCUGCCUCCUUCCCAUCUGUGACAUGUAGCUGUCCUGCACCGUAGGGAUCACGGGGUAACACAUUUCAUCCUCUCUUCGUGACAGCUGCCUUCAGCCCUUCUUUCCGUAAGUUCCCCAAACUGAGCUGUGGUUUUGUUGUUUGUGUCUUGGGUUGUUUUAUUCCCCUUUCAUUUUUAACAGGAGAGGGGAGGAAUCAUUUUGUUUCUGAUCCAUCCAAGUUUUUUUCCCCUCAGCAGGGAAACAACAGUGUGGUGUUAUCCCCUCACAGGCGCUUUGUAGGAUGAACUGAGUGGUUGUUCUCUACUGUCGCAGUGCUUCUGCCUCCUGCUCAUCCGGGUUCCUUCAAUUACACUUCAUUUUUAUUUUUUUUUUUUCAUAACCUCCAGUUAAUUUGACAGUCAGUCCUGACUUCCAGAAUAAACCACAGGCGUUUCAUGGUGUCCCUGGGCUGGUGUUCAGGAACACUCUGGCUGAUGUGACUCAGAUGUGAGUGGAGACAAUCCCUGACCCUUCAGUGAGCUUAAAACCCCAACAUCACGUGUCCAGCUCUUCUUUACCCUCAUCUCCAGGCCAGGUGCUUUGCUGGUCUUUUUAAGUGAGGAGCAGAGGAGCUCUACAGCCUUGUCUUUUUUUUUUUUUUCUUUUUUGCUAUUACAUCAUCCUGCUAGAAGUGCUAAUCGAGUCCUGGAAAACAACCUUGUUUGAACAUGUGUAUGGUGGGAAUCGGACCAGACUGCCCUUGUGGUUUGCAUUUUCAUAUUUCAUGUUACCAGCAUUUUCCUGUGGAUUUCAUUAAGCUGGGUUUGGCAUGCAAUGAAAAGGCAGAGUCUCCUGGCUUGUGCGGUGCCGACCUUAAAGAAAAACAAAACAAAAAAAAAAAAAAAAAACAAAACCAAAACCCACCUUAAAUCCUGGCUUUAGGAACAAAUAGAUAUUUAUAUUCAGUGUCUGGCUAGCAUAUAUAUGUGUGUAAAGCAUGAGGCAUGACUGUUUGUUACCCUGGUGAGUGUGCAGCCCGUGGUUUUUGUGACCGUGGCAGACCUCGGGCACAAGCUGCGAUGUUUGCAGUGCCCCAGCCAUUUUGUUUGGACCCAUCUGCUCAGGAUUUGUCCAGGCUCGUGGGGUUUUUCUCCUUCCUGCAUUAAGUUUUAUAGCAGCUCUCCGUUAGCGGGAAGGCGGAGGCACUGCUGGUGCCCUCGGAGUUGUGGCAGGCUCUGUAUCGUACAUCUAAUAUCGGCCAAAGAGGGAUAUUUUCCAAGUGUUUUACUACUGUGGGUAGGGUUUACUGCUGCUGAGGUUAAAGCUGCCAGGUUGACAAGGUGUGCGCUUGCAUCCUGUUUAAUGCCACAGAAAUUACGCAGCAAGAGGUAAACAGAAAUUAUUUUCCUUUUGCUAGAGUAAACAGCUAAAUGCUUUUUGUUGGCUGGCGCAGGGGAAUCACCCAGCCCUCUGCCCUCAGCUCCUCCUGUACCAUGUUAACACAUCAGCCUGCGUUGUUUGUUCCAGAUCUGGCCCUGUGACCUUGACCUCUUUGCCCCCUGUGCUGGGGGCUCAAGGCCAAGCAUCCUGACAGCUGAGAGCUUUGGGAAGGAGCUGCUCCUUGUGCUGGCCCCGCUGCUGGCAGCUCAUGCAACAUCUGGUUUUGUGGCUGGAGAAAGUUGCUGGGGGCUCGCACAGUAAUAUCCCAUGAGCUUUGGAUUUAAGCAUGGGGAAGAUGCGACUCUGCCCCUGGGGUUGUGUUUCUGUCCUGGUUGUUGACUGCAUGUAAACUCUUCCCCAGGAGCCCAGUGUUGAUGAUACACCUGAAAGAGCAAGUGGGGGGGGGG